UACAUAGGGCUGGGCAGGAGCAGGUCUUUCUCCUCUGCUCAGAAUGCAAACUACGAAAAGGCUCAACAGACCUUUUUGAUGAAAAGAGUUAUCUACUCUGCUACUGAGACUUCAUCUAUUGUUUCCAUGAUACCAGGAGGGUUUCCACAGCAGCGUUCCAGUAAGAAGACUACAACUCCUAGCAUGCGCUGCAGACAAAAAUGGCCUCACAAAAGCCCGGUACUGGAAGACUACACCUCCUACCAUGCACAGCAUAUGAAAAUAGGCUUCCGGAAACCCGGUGCAAGGAGACUACAGUUCCUGGCAUGCACGGCAGGAUAAAAUGACUUCCUGGAAAGCCUGUACCGGAAGACUACAACUACCAGCAUGCAGCGGAAAACAAUAUGGCCGACAGGAAGAUUAGAGCUCCCGGCAUCCGCAGCAGCCUGAAAUGGCCGAAUGGUCAGAUACUGGUGGACUAGUGCUCCCGGCAUAGAGCGAAAAAAAAAAAAAAAUCCGGAACCCGGUGCCCUAAGCCUAUUGCUGCCGCCAUGCCGCGCAAAACAACAGCUGGAAGAGCAGUGCCGGAAGUUUACUGCUCUCGGGGUGCAGCGCAAAACAACAUGGCCUGCCGGAAGCCCAGUGCCGGAAGACUACUGUUCCCGGCAUGCCGGGCGGGGGGGGGGCCGGCCUGCACCGCUCGGUGACCUUUGACCCUGCGGCGAUUCCGUUCUGGCCAGCCCUGUCUCUCCUCCCCCCUCACACUCGAGGGCCGGAAACCGACACACAGGCCACACUGCAGCCCCGCAAUCUCCAGCAGGGGUCCGGGGCUCCCCGACACCCUCUGGAGCAGCCCCAGCCAACAUUUCGGUCCCAGCAGGCAGUGUGUGGCAGCAGUUCCAUUGUCCUGGACCAAGCCUGACAUGAACUUCUACCAAAUGCAGACUCAGCGCACAGCAUGUACCCAUUUCCUGCCGUUGCAAUCCACCCAACAGGCACCACCUGGGACUUCUCACAGCCACAGUGCCCAGAGCUGCAGGCCAUCAGGGACAGCUGGGCCUGCCAGGGCACCAGAGGCCCCCAGACUCCUGAGAGCAGCUUCUCAAAAGCUCAAGGGAGAGCCCUGGGGCACACAGGGAGCUAAAAGGGGAAUUCAGGGCACAAAGGAACAAAGCGGGAGCUCUGGGUGCAACA